rnacentral:lncRNA from 1 species
AGGGAGGGAAAGAGAGAGAAAGAGACCCUCAGCUCCUCACAACACUGUUAUUUCUGGACUUUUUCCUAAGUUCUUCGUGAGCAAGUUGUUCAGGCCCCUGUGUCUGGCUCAGCAGUAGUAAAACAACAGUUACCCUUAGCCAAGCCCUGAAGAGCCUGGAAGUGGUGGAGAGACCCCCUCCAUGGAGCUGUGCAGGGCUUUCUCCAUAUUUUGUACAUUUUCUUGACAAGAGCGCCACAGUCAAAACUAAAACUAAGUGAGAGAUGAUGCUACUUUCAACUGGGAAAGGUUCUAAUAGUGUCUCUUCUGGAAAAGUUCCUUGGUGACAAUAAAAUGCUUACCC